GGAAUAGAUUUUCCUUAUUCACACACACUUAGGUUAUAUCUAUAUUUUACUCCUUACAAAACUUGUACUGUGAUGAUACUAACUGGCCCAUUAAGAUGCAAUCUCUCUUUUUCUCAAUUAAAUGUUUUCUGUUUAAAAUUUACACAGCCUAUAAAGUGCAAAGACACUGCAAACAUUUUCAUUUUCCACCUCCUAAGCAAUGAAAUAGAAUCAUAGGGUAAUUUUCCCUUUUACGUGGAUACAGUGUCAAAUAUGAGAAGUGUGGAAGACAAUGAACUGAACUAUUUUUUGGAAGAGAAAAAAAAAGAUGAAACUAAACGAAGAAUAUAAAAAUCCAUACAAAAACAAUCUACAACAACAAUCACACACACACACGUCUUGGCAAAUGGUGAAAUAACUACUGCUGCUAAAUGAAUGGACAGAGAAUGGAGCCAACUGGAAUGAAUUUACAUGUAUAUUAAAUACAUAGAGGCUAUGACUUCUUGCUCACAUAUUUCAGCUAUAUAUACAUGUACAUGUAAACUAUCUGACAAGAAAAUGCACAGAACAACAUUCAACAGACAGGAAAAAAACAUGUCUAUGUAAUAAUAACAAUCUGUUCAUUUUCUGAUUGACUGAACACAAAAAUAAGGACAUAUAUAACAUGUGUUCCUUGAUUUCUAUAAUGUUAUCAAAUUUCCAAAUAUCAAGCUACAUUGCAUGAUUUUCUUUAAUCACACUUUUUACUCCAGACUGAACCUCUACCAAACUCCCGAUGUUUGACCUUUGGCCCAAUAACCUUGAUCAAAUAUUUACUAAAAUGUAAUCUUGAUUUUGCAUAGCAUAUAGGUGCCACCAAAUGUAGUUUGAAAUAUAAUAAUUGUCUUGAAUAAAUAGUCUUUGACUGUU
rnacentral:sRNA from 1 species